GGUGAAAAGCACCCCGGAAGGGGAGUGAAAUAGAACCUGAAACCGUGUGCUUACAAGUAGUCAGAGCCCGUUAAUGGGUGAUGGCGUGCCUUUUGUAGAAUGAACCGGCGAGUUACGAUUUGAUGCAAGGUUAAGCAGUAAAUGUGGAGCCGUAGCGAAAGCGAGUCUGAAUAGGGCGUUUAGUAUUUGGUCGUAGACCCGAAACCAGGUGAUCUACCCUUGGUCAGGUUGAAGUUCAGGUAACACUGAAUGGAGGACCGAACCGACUUACGUUGAAAAGUGAGCGGAUGAACUGAGGGUAGCGGAGAAAUUCCAAUCGAACCUGGAGAUAGCUGGUUCUCUCCGAAAUAGCUUUAGGGCUAGCCUCAAGUGAUGAUUAUUGGAGGUAGAGCACUGUUUGGACGAGGGGCCCCUCUCGGGUUACCGAAUUCAGACAAACUCCGAAUGCCAAU
rnacentral:rRNA from 1 species